GGGGCUGUGACUCAGUGGUAGAGAGCUUGCCUAGCAUGUGUGAGGCACUAGGUUAGAUUCUCAGCACCA
rnacentral:tRNA from 1 species